rnacentral:rRNA from 1 species
UACAGAGGGGGCGAGCGUUGUUCGGAUUUACUGGGCGUAAAGGGCGCGUAGGCGGUCAGCACAAGUCAGUUGUGAAAUCUCCGGGCUUAACUCGGAAAGGUCAACUGAUACUGUGCGACUAGAGUGCGGAAGGGGCAACUGGAAUUCUCGGUGUAGCGGUGAAAUGCGUAGAUAUCGAGAGGAACACCUGCGGCGAAGGCGGGUUGCUGGGCCGACACUGACGCUGAUGCGCGAAAGCCAGGGGAGCGAACGGGG